AUGAUUAAUAUUUGCAGUGGC
rnacentral:miRNA from 1 species